UACGGGGGGGGCAAGCGUUGUUCGGAAUUACUGGGCGUAAAGGGCUCGUAGGCGGCCAACUAAGUCAGACGUGAAAUCCCUCGGCUUAACCGGGGAACUGCGUCUGAUACUGGAUGGCUUGAGGUUGGGAGAGGGAUGCGGAAUUCCAGGUGUAGCGGUGAAAUGCGUAGAUAUCUGGAGGAACACCGACGGCGUAGGCAGCGCCCUGGCCGUUUCCUGACGCUGAAGCACGAAAGCUGGGGGAGCAAACAGG
rnacentral:rRNA from 1 species